GAUAGUGAUGAUGGUGAUGGUGAUGAUGGUGGUGAUGAUGGUGAUGAUGGUGAUGAUGGUGAUGAUGGUGAUGGUGGUGGUGACUGUGGUGGUGGUGGUGGUGAUGGUGGUGGUGGUGGUGGUGGUGAUGGUGGUGGUGGUGGUGGUGGUGACAGUGGUGACUGUGGUGGUGGUGACGGUGGUGACGGUGGUGGUGGUGGUGGUGGUGACGGUGGUGAUGGUGGUGGUGGUGGUGGUGGUGGUGG
rnacentral:lncRNA from 1 species